rfam:Sorghum bicolor cultivar BTx623 chromosome 1, whole genome shotgun sequence.
AUACCUUUCUCGGCCUUUUGGCUAAGAUCAAGUGUAGUAUCUGUUCUUAUCAGUUUAAUAUCUGAUAUGUGGACCAUGUGUCCACUUCGAUAUUAAAUUUAUUUUUUGUGGGGAAGGGUCCACUAACAGUGGCUUGCCACUGGGGCCCUUGCGCGUCGCCCAGCCGUUGCACUGCUGGCAGGGCCUGGCGCACCCCAA